rnacentral:sRNA from 1 species
UCUCUACUAAAAAUACAAAAAUCAACCAGGUGUGGUGGCGGGCACCUGGAAUCCUAGCUACUUGGGAGGCUGAGGCAGGAGGAUUGCUUGAACCCAGGAGGUGGAGGUUGCAGUGAGUUGAGACUGUGCCAUUGCACUCUAGCCUGGGAACAAGAACAAAACUCCGUCUCAGGAAAAAAAAAAAAAAAGAUUUAGUUGUGCUCAAGCAUCCAGAUUAUCUUUUCUUUUCAAAACCAGCCUUACUGACUAAAUGUUAAAUAUGUACUAGUCGUUAUUAGUUUGCUGAAUAUUGCCUAGUGAUUAUUGAGUAUUUAUUCUCACCUUUCAGACAUGAGCUUCUGAAUUCAACACGUGAAGAUUUACAGCUUGAUAAGCCAGCUUCAGGAGUAAAGGAAGAAUGGUAUGCCAGAAUCACUAAAUUAAGAAAGAUGGUGGAUCAGCUUUUCUGCAAAAAAUUUGCGGAAGCCUUGGGGAGCACUGAAGCCAAGGCUGUACCAUACCAAAAAUUUGAGGCACACCCGAAUGAUCUGUACGUGGAAGGACUGCCAGAAAACAUUCCUUUCCGAAGUCCCUCAUGGUAUGGAAUCCCAAGGCUGGAAAAAAUCAUUCAAGUGGGCAAUCGAAUUAAAUUUGUUAUUAAAAGACCAGAACUUCUGACUCACAGUACCACUGAAGUUACUCAGCCAAGAACAAAUACACCAGGUAAACUAGUUGUGAA